AACCCCGAAUCCUCCACUUGUCCACAUUCAAAAUGUGCGAAUCUAGCCACUAGAUUACUUUGAAACAAAUGAGAACAUAAAUAUUAGAUAUAUUAUAAAAAGUAAGAAGAUGAAGUGCAUACACCAGAAGGGGGUUUGACUACUGCUUGGACAGUGAAGGAAAUUCUCUUCUUGUGAGGUGCUGAUUGAUUGAAGUUAUGAUUUUGAAACAAGAAAACUUGAUGGUUUGUAGAUUGAAGUGAUGGGGUUCUUCCUAAGAUGAAUGAUGAUUGCAAUGUUGUUAAUGAGGUAGCCAUUGCAAUGGUUGAUAACAGUAACUACUACUUCAUUGUUGGGGUUAUCUAGUUUUGUUUUCAUAGUUCCUAUUUUCCACUUGUUUUUGUGUGGUUCUAAACAAAUUGGAAAAAAGUGGGUUGACACAAUCGAUACGUGUUACAAUAACUACGGCAGAUAACUAGAUAUAUCAUAUAUCGAUAUUUUUCAUAUAUUUUAUUUUCAAUCAAUU
rnacentral:lncRNA from 1 species